ensembl:lncRNA
ACAUCAGAAAGCUUCAUGACACUUUAUUAUGAUAGAAGCUAAGUCCAGGAAGCAAACACUUGCAAUUGAAUAAAGCAAGUGCUGUCUGAUGCUUAGUCCCUGGCUUUUGUGUCUGGGGACACAGAGGGAUGGAGUGCUUCAUCCCAGUAGUCUGCUGUAAGGAGGGAAGCACUUUGUCCCAUGUAAUGGAAGGAGGCUGCUUUCAGAUAUGUUGAGUCCCUUCAGAAUUAGGAGACAUCGUAGGGGUCUACAGAGAGAGAGAGAGAGAGAGAGAGAGAGAGAGAGAGAGAAAGUACUGGUAUUCUACACCACUUCCCAUUAUGUAUUGGAAGUAGGACUUGGCAUUUCAGACUGCAGCGCCAUGGACUAAAAGGUGCUAUUUAGUUGUUACUGUGAUCUUAAAAAUGGAUGCAUGUUGAUACAUUUGAGGUAGGGGUUUGGUUAAUGUUGCUUGGGCAGUUGACAAGUUAAUGGUCAUUUGCUGAUAAAUUUCUCAGUCUUUUAACUCAGUAUGUGAGAGAAAAAGGCUUCACCCGGCGGUUCACUUUUGGUUGUUCAAAUUAACAGCCCCAUCUCUGAAGUCAUUUCACUUGGGAAAAAAAUCCUUGCUUUUGCAAAUGUAGAUUGUAUUUCUACUUUAAUUUUUAAAAAGAAUUAUCAAGUAGUUUUCAUUAGACUUAAUUGAUUUAUUGAUCAUAAGAGGCUCAGUGGUUAAAAGCUUGAGCCCCCAUUGCAGGGACCCCGUGUGGUUCCUCGCCCCUAGGGCAGCCUCUAGGGCACUGACUGCAGGCGUCCAGCUCUGCAGCCUCCUGAACUCAUCUGCUGUAAACACACUGCCCACCGCCUACUUCAGUUAAAAACUCUAAAUGGUCAGUGUAGAAAAUGUCAGCUGCUGAAGGGGUGUGGAGUGCGAGUUCUCCAUCACUCUUCCAGUGGACAUUUUAGAGCCUUUAUGAAGAGGCCCAGGCUUGCCUGAGCUGCUCUAGGCUCAGUGGUCAGUUUUAGCAGCUCUGCUUUCUGUGACAAUCCACAGGCAUAGACUCACUUCCCAGACACAUUAGAACGAGUGUGUGCACUGUACCUGCUUAUAUUUACGCUUCCUUGGACAGCCUUCCCACGGCUGCGUCUCACCAAACGUUGUGGACAUAGUGUGUUGUACUUUACACAUAGUACAUAAUCUUGUACGAGGAAUUUCUGUGCUCAUGGACCAUCUGUGUUUGUCGCUGUAAAACACCCACUGUAAACAGUGUGAUUUACUUACAGGGAAUAGCUUAGGAUAUCCGUGAUGUAUUUCUGGUGUGAACUUACCUGACUUGACAUUGUGCUCAUCUCCUUUGUCUGGAGAGGAGAGAAGGGAGUCCCAGCUUUCAUUUAUAACUCCUAGAGAGUGGACAUAUAUUUUAGGUCAAGUUCAAACUGUAUUCAGGUAAAAUCAUAUCUUAGAGCAGUUAGAAAGCCUUUAAAUGUUAAGACAAGUGUAAUUUUAAUGUAUACAAUAUUUUGCAUAGAUGAACUUAAGAUGUAGAAAAGAAUGCCCUUGAUUUUGGUUCCACAUAAAAAAGACAGAUUGUUGAAAGACCAGGUGCUUGUUCCUGAUCUCAGAUGAGAAUGUUAUGUCUGAACUCUUGUUAGUACCUGGGGUGAGUCCUACCGCAUUUCAACAGGAUUCAUGCUGUAGUACAUAUCUGUAUGCUCAUAAACAUGCUGUUUGAUGUAUAUCGAGUAAAUUUGUAUUGAAUGGAGUUUUCAAUAUAGAAGGAAGCAGAUAUUCUAGAAAAGUAUCAUAUAACCAACUUAAUCUUAGGAAGCAAAUGUGUUUUAUACUAAGCCAUCCUGACCCAUCCUCUGCCUGUUUUCUAAAUGUUAUUUUCUAUAGUAAUGAAUUCAGUCAUGCCCGUUUAGUAUGCGCCGUGUGCAAUAGGCUUGAUUCUAACAAUGCCAUUUAAAUAUGAAGUCAUUCAGUAAUUACAGUAAGUUUGAUGACUUGUCUUUUACAUUUCAAUCAGUUAGAAACAUCUUCUGUUUGGUUUUAGCUCUCUGAUUUACUUUUCUUUGGGUGCAUUUUAGGUAUUUGAAGUCAAUGGCAAAAUGUUGCUGAGAAAUAUAAACAACUUAAGUUAAUGAUGACAUAAUUUUAAUAUAUCGAAAUGAUUCCAGCACUAAAUUCCAUAAUGUUUGGAAGUUAUUUCUAAAGUAAAUUUGGUGAUAAUAGGUAUCUAAUAAUCUCUUUUUAUUAUUUAAAAUGAGAUAUUGAUUAGUGGCAUUCUCCAUACCUUAGACACUGUUAAAGCAAAAGUAGGUAGGGUAUAUUUUUCUUUCAAAAAAGUAAAUAUAUGGAAUUUGCAUUCAGAAAUUUGAUCAGUUCAAUUUAUUUGAGCCCUGUACUUAUCACUGUCUUGCUCAAGAUGAAUAAGAAUGAAAAGAAUUACAGUAGUUGUCUUUCUCAAUAGUGUUUUGCUGGUUCACACACACACACGCACUCACACUCACACUCACACUCAGACACAUCAUAAAGCUGACCUUUUGCUAUUUUGUUUCGCUAUCAAAGCUGUACUGGUCUGACCUCUCAUGUUAUUGUGUGAGUUACAGGUUUUUAAAAUCCUUAGGAGCCUUUUAGAGGAACAUGUAUAAAAUGAUAAACGCUUAGGUUUUAUUACAAGAUGAAUUGUUGAACAAAUUGUUGAUGUUUAAUUGGAAAAACAUAGCUCCCAUAACAACAAGUUCUUACGGUUAUUUGAAAGCAUAAUACAUUGCUUUAAAUGUAGAUCAGUGGUCAACAAAUAGGUUUUAACUCACAAAAACACCCUUUCUUAAUUAUGUUGUCUCUUUAGGGGCAUAGAGCUCCCCUAAAUAAGUUUUGUAUUUACUGAAAACAUUUCACUGGGAAAGCGUCAGUGGCUUGAGAGAGUAGAUAUGGGAUAGUGUCUUUUCAAGGGUCUCAAAACCUGCCAUUUUAAACGUGAGUUUAUUGUAGUUCAUGUUCUUUAUAUUCUUCGGUAAGUCAGGUUCAAGAAUCUCUUGAAGUAUUCUGCCUUUCAUAUAUUUUGUUUCUGAAAUAAAGUGGAUGUUUAGCUUUCGUUAAGCUGGUUUUUAAAUUGUGUCCUACACCCAGCCACAGGUGGUGUAAAGUCUCAGCGCACCAGUAAUGCAGUGUUUACCUCACAUACGUUUGUGUUCCUUUGUCAGGAGAGAAGUGUAUUUGGGUUUCCCCUGUAGUGAGGAAUAGGAAAGUACUGUGUAAUCAAAUUUGUACUGAAAUGUUUACUAGGUGAUGACAGUGGGCUACAUUUUAACGUAUUCUUGUAAUUUAACUUUUUCUACUAAUCUGGAUUAAACUUUUUAUAGUUUUGUAUUGUUUUGAACCACAAAGAUUUAGAAUUCUCCACCUUCAUUAAUGAUUAUUUGUUGUUCAGGAAGGGUCUCAUAAUCCAGGCUAGCCUGGAAUUUACAAUGUAGCCAAGAAAGACCUUGAACUCCUGAUUCUUUUGCCUCUACCUCUGGACUGCUGGGUUCCCGGCAUGCCGCACCAUGCCCAGUGUAUGCAGUGCUGGGGAUCAAACACAGAACUUAGGGCAGCCGGCAAGCAGUCUGCCAGCUGGGCUGUUUCCUCAGCCCUGCUGCUUCUACUGUGGCCGAAAAUGUUCCCUGGGUUCCAUGAAGUGAAGGUAAAUGUGAAACCAAAAGUCAUUUGUUCCAUGAUUAAUUGUGUCUCAGAUGACGGAACCUAAUGCACCCGGCCAUGAAACUGUUUACCUCACAGACUGGGGGAUGUUUCUGAUAGUGAUAAUAGGUUUGGAAACAACCUGAACUGUCUACUUCUGUCUCGCUGGUUCUCAGGCCUCUUGUGUUAACUGUACCACAUACACGGAGAGACUGAGGAGAGGGUGGGUUUUUGUCUCAUAUUAGAAUAAGCAGAAUGAGUAUUUGUCUAAUGUUACAAAGUAGCUGUGUGAGCUGCCUUUAUGAGUGGGCAGCCUGACGAGAAUCGGGCUCUUAGCUGCAGCUGAGAUGGAGUAGUAGGAAGGACACUGAGUCUACCUUCCUUUUUGUAACAUUUUGGAAAACAAAUUCCAUGGGAAAUAGAACUCCACUACUUUUCUAGAUCAGACAGUUGAGGCGCAUACAGACUGUCUCUUCCAGAGCAGGCAGUCUCUCCCAUUGUGUCAUCACGGCCUCAGCUUGUUGUGUGAACACAAAAUCUACAGCACGGGCUGAAGUUGUCAGCCCGAUUAACAAGGAAGUAAAGAUCUUUGAUAUCCAAUAGAGAUGUAGUUGCCUAAGACUUAAUUUCUCAAAAGAACUUUGGAAAUAAAUGGUUGUUUUAAACUGAUCUGUGAUUUUUAAAUAAUCUUUUCUGAAAGAAUUUGAUGUUUAUUUUAAAUACGUGAAUAUAUGUUUUAACCGUUUUUUAAGGUUUUACAUUUUGUUACAUUCAAAACUUAAGAUGUUUGACUCUAAAAUUGUGAUUCAUGUCAUUUAAACUCUUGAAUAAACCUAUUUAUAAGAAUAAAAGCGUUUUAAAUAGUU